UACGUAGGGGGCAAGCGUUGUCCGGAAUCAUUGGGCGUAAAGCGCGCGUAGGCGGCCCGGUAAGUCCGCUGUAAAAGUCCAGGGCUCAACCCUGGAAAGCCGGUGGAUACUGUCGGGCUAGAGUCCGGAAGAGGCGGAGUGGAAUUCCUGGUGUAGCGGUGGAAUGCGCAGAUAUCAGGAGGAACACCGAUAGCGAAGGCAGCUCGC
rnacentral:rRNA from 1 species